UGGGGAAUAUUGGGCAAUGGGCGAAAGCCUGACCCAGCGACGCCGCGUGAGGGAAGAAGAUCUUCGGAUUGUAAACCUUAGUCAACAGGGAAGAAGAAAGUGACGGUACCUGUGGAGGAAGCCACGGCUAACUACGUGCCAGCAGCCGCGGUAAUACGUAGGUGGCAAGCGUUAUCCGGAUUUACUGGGUGUAAAGGGUGUGUAGGCGGGCCGGCAAGUCAGAUGUGAAACCUAUGGGCUCAACCCAUAGCCUGCAUUUGAAACUGUUGGUCUUGAGAGUGGGAGAGGUAAGUAGAAUUCCCGGUGUAGCGGUGAAAUGCGUAGAUAUCGGGAGGAAUACCGGUGGCGAAGGCGGCUUACUGGACCAUUACUGACGCUGAGACACGAAAGCGUGGGGAGCAAACAGG
rnacentral:rRNA from 2 species